CACGUAGGGGACGAGCGUUGUCCGGAAUCAUUGGGCGUAAAGGGUGCGUAGGCGGCGCGGUAAGUCGGGUGUGAAAUCUCGGAGCUUAACUCCGAAACUGCAUUCGAUACUGCCGUGCUUGAGGACUGGAGAGGAGACUGGAAUUUACGGUGUAGCGGUGAAAUGCGUAGAUAUCGUAAGGAAGACCAGUGGCGAAGGCGGGUCUCUGGACAGUUCCUGACGCUGAGGCACGAAGGUCAGGGGAGCAAACGGG
rnacentral:rRNA from 1 species